rnacentral:rRNA from 1 species
GUCAGAGUUUGAUCCUGGCUCAGAUUGAACGCUGGCGGCAUGCUUUACACAUGCAAGUCGAACGGUAACAGGUUAAGCUGACGAGUGGCGAACGGGUGAGUAAUGCAUCGGAACGUGCCCGAUCGUGGGGAUAACGCAGCGAAAGCUGCGCUAAUACCGCAUACGAUCUGAGGAUGAAAGCGGGGGACCGUAAGGCCUCGCGCGAUUGGAGCGGCCGAUAUCAGAUUAGGUAGUUGGUGGGGUAAAGGCUCACCAAGCCAACGAUCUGUAGCUGGUCUGAGAGGACGACCAGCCACACUGGAACUGAGACACGGUCCAGACUCCUACGGGAGCAGCAGUUUCGAAUCGUUCAC